rnacentral:rRNA from 1 species
CCUACGGGAGGCAGCAGUAGGGAAUCUUCCACAAUGGGCGAAAGCCUGAUGGAGCAACGCCGCGUGUGUGAAGAAGGGUUUCGGCUCGUAAAACUCUGUUGUGGAGAAGAAGACAUUGAGAGUAACUGUUCAGUGUGUGACGGUAUCUACCAGAAAACACGGCUAAAUACGCGCCC